AAAAAUCCAUGAUUUUCUAUAGCUAGAAGCUGCCAUUAUAUCAAAGAAACCUUGAGUUAUUGAUUAAACUCAUACAUCAUAUGCUACUUAACCCAUUUUCCACCAAAAACUUAAUUUAUAACUUCGUUUGCAUUAUACCGCAAUAAUUGUUCAAGCUAAUUAGUUAAAAUGGCAUGCUGCCAUUUCAGGUUUCGCAACUCUUCC
rnacentral:lncRNA from 1 species